CAAAACCGGCCGCGUCUUCGGGCGCGUUCGCCUUGGUGACUCUGGAUAACUUUGCGGAUCGCACGGUCUAGCACCGGCGACGGAUCAUUCAAGUGUCUGCCCUAUCAACUUUCGUCGGUACGGUAUUUGCCUACCGAGGUUCUUACGGGUGACGGGGAAUCAGGGUUCGAUUCCGGAGAGGGAGCCUGAGAAACGGCUACCACAUCCAAGGAAGGCAGCAGGCGCGCAAAUUACCCAUUCCCGACGCGGGGAGGUAGUGACGAAAAAUAACAAUGCAGGACUCGUUCGAGGCCCUGUAAUUGGAAUGAGUACACUUUAAAAGCUUUAACGAGUAUCCAUUGGAGGGCAAGUCUGGUGCCAGCAGCCGCGGUAAUUCCAGCUCCAAAAGUAUAUAUUUAAGUUGUUGCGGUUAAAAAGCUCGUAGUUGGAUUUUGGGCGCAGGCGGCCGGUCCGUCGCAAGGCGUGUACUGGACGUCCUGGCCUUCCCUCCGGUUCUCCGCCGGUGCUCUUGACUGAGUGUCGGCGGCGGCCGGAACGUUUACUUUGAAAAAAUUAGAGUGUUCAAAGCAGGCUCUCGAGCCUGGAUAAUGGUGCAUGGAAUAAUGGAAUAGGACCUCGGUUCUAUUUUGUUGGUUUUCGGAGCGCGAGAGUAAUGAUUAAGAGGGACAGACGGGGGCAUU
rnacentral:ncRNA from 1 species